rnacentral:rRNA from 1 species
UACGUAGGGUGCAAGCGUUAAUCGGAAUUACUGGGCGUAAAGCGUGCGCAGGCGGUUUUGUAAGUCUGUCGUGAAAGCCCCGGGCUCAACCUGGGAAUUGCGAUGGAGACUGCAAGGCUUGAAUCUGGCAGAGGGGGUAGAAUUCCACGUGUAGCAGUGAAAUGCGUAGAGAUGUGGAGGAACGCCGAUGGCGAAGGCAGCCCCUGGGUCAAGAUUGACGCUCAUGCACGAAAGCGUGGGGAGCAAACAGG